UUAAAGAUUCAAUUUUUACUCGAGAAUCACAGUAAUAUGAACAAUGAGUUGUCGAAGAAAACUGGUUUACUUAUGUAGAACCAAUCAAAAAGAAUAAAUUGCUCUCUGUGGUUUAAAAUAAUUUUGAUACCGUAAAAAUAAAAGGCUGAAAGUUUAAAUUUUGAUUGAAGUGAUAAAGACUUUUACUUUAAAAAAACAAAUACUAAAAAAGAAGUAUUAAUAUAUUUAAAAUCAAGUGGGUCCAAUAAGGGUAAAAAGGUAAUUAUGCCUUUAAAAAUUUUCCAAAUAAGAAAAGAUGACAUUUAUUUUGGGACGGACAAAAAAAGAAAUGGCGACACAUAAUUGGGGACGGAGGGAGUAGUAUUUUUAUUUGGUUCGAAGGAUAUCAUGUGCCUCAGCAGAGAAGUAAAGUUCUGCUCUCCUCUCUUUCUCUUACGUAUCUAGUUCUAUAGCUUGACCCUUACUUUUAUGAUGUAAGGGCAGAACAUAUGUCAAAAGUUAUUUAAUUUCGCUAUUAUGAGUAUUUUUGGGGAUGUUGGAGACUUAAUUAAAAAGUAUUAAUACUAUGUAAUAUUGAUUGGUAAUAUUUAUGUCUAUUAACAUUCUAAAAUUAAAUUAUAAAAUAUUAUUUUUUUAAAGUGGGCUGGCCCGUGAGGCCCGCAACCCACAGAGUAAUAGUGUGGGCUUGAUAUUUUUUGGCUCAUCAUUUUGAUAGGCUAGCCCAACCUGACCUGUCAAACUCAAAGUCCGUGUGGGCUAGCUCAGAUGGGCUAAGCCAACCCGUAUUGACAUCUCUGCAAAAAAAAAAAAACUCUACAUUAUUGAUACUCAAAGGAGACUUUGGAAUCUUGAAGAAUGCACGGAGGCGAAUUCAGGAUUUCAAAACGCGGAUGUAUGAAUGUGAAAUUCAUCAAGAUGACCUACAUUAUGCAUAUUAUACUAGACAAGGAGCCCAN
rnacentral:lncRNA from 1 species